GUGGGGUAAAGGCCCACCAAGCCAACGAUCUGUAGCUGGUCUGAGAGGACGACCAGCCACACUGGGACUGAGACACGGCCCAGACUCCUACGGGAGGCAGCAGUGGGGGAUUUUGGACAAUGGGCGCAAGCCUGAUCCAGCCAUGCCGCGUGCGGGAAGAAGGCCUUCGGGUUGUAAACCGCUUUUGUCAGGGAAGAAAAGGUUCUGGUUAAUACCUAGGACUCAUGACGGUACCGUAAGAAUAAGCACCGGCUAACUACGUGCCAGCAGCCGCGGUAAUACGUAGGGUGCAAGCGUUAAUCGGAAUUACUGGGCGUAAAGCGUGCGCAGGCGGUUAUAUAAGACAGAUGUGAAAUCCCCGGGCUCAACCUGGGAACUGCAUUUGUGACUGUAUAGCUGGAGUGCGGCAGAGGGGGAUGGAAUUCCGCGUGUA
rnacentral:rRNA from 1 species